AUUAGCUCAGUUGGUUAGAGCAGCUGACUCUUAAUCAGCGGGUCCGGGGUUCGAAUCCCUGAU
rnacentral:tRNA from 3 species